AGGUGCGCAGAAACAGGAGCCGAAACUGAACAUCGGAAAUAGAGCGGACCGUAAGAUCUGCCUGCUUGGCCUAGUCACCUUCAGCUUCGGCGCGAUAGUGGCCGGGCUCGCGGUCUAUGUAUCACUGUCUCGUCAGUCUCUGAUCACCUCCGAACGAAACUACCGGAGACUUUGGGAACAACAUAAGGAGAUGAACAGGACCAAGCGCCAAUGUCAACAGCAUGUCCAUGAGUUGAACUCAACCCUUGAAUCCAGGGCAUCCGAGAAUUCCCUCCUGAAUCUCUCUCAGAGAAUCUGUCUGAAUAAUCUUUCCGCUAUGACCAACAACCUCACUAUCCUCGAAAACAACAAUUCCGUCCUCAACUCGGAUCUCUCGGAGCUGAAUCGAACGCACAACGAUCUCCAUCAUCAGUUCAAUCAGCUCGAAAUGAAGUACAGAAACAUCACCGAAAACAAAGCACAGAUUUGCCGAUAUCUUACGAGGAGAAGAGAGCAAACAUGUCCUAAGAACUGGAUCGAAAACGAAGAUCGUUGUUAUUUGAUAUCCACCUUGGAGACAUCUUAUAAUGGAGCGAGGGUACAGUGUUCAAACUUUGAUGCAAG